rnacentral:hammerhead_ribozyme from 1 species
AGCCGAAACGGUCAGCAAUGACCGUCACACCGGGGAUGACCGCCCGGUGUCUGAUGAUGGCAGGUCGGG